UACCCGCAGCACAAGUGGUGGUCAUUAUUAUUGGGCCUAAAGCGUCCGUAGCUGGCUUGUUAGAUGCCUGGGUAAAUCGAUGCGCUCAACGUAUCGAACUCCGGGUAGACCGGCAAGCUUGGGACCGGGAGAGGCGUGAGCUACUCGAGGGGUAGGGGUAAAAUCCUGUAAUCCUUCGGGGAGGACCAGUGGCGAAGGCGUCACGCUAGAACGGCUCCGACAGUGAGGGACGAAGCCCUGGGGCGCAAACCGG
rnacentral:rRNA from 1 species